rnacentral:lncRNA from 1 species
UAAAACAUAAAUCACAUCCCAACACAUAAUUUUCAAAAGAAAGUAGAUAUACGUGGUGAUGGUUCGAAAGUGACGGAUUUUUCUUCUCGGUAAAUGUUAAACUUUACUGCUUGCCCUUUAUAAACACAAUUGUGUUGUACUUGAUUUCUUAUAAUUAAAUAAUUAAAUAGUUUCUCUCUCUAGCUAUGAGCGCUCUUGGCGCAUGUUAAGCUAACCUGUGUCGCUCGUGUUUCCAGCCAUGGCUAGGCGUGGAAGACCUGCAAAAAGACCUUUGGUAACCAUAGGAAGUUCUGUAAGUGCCAGGAUUAUUGCCAAUACCCUAGAACAAGGGAAUGAACAACGUGUUGUUACCCCCAAAUCGACGCUGAUUCAGCCAACAUCGAUCGGGUCUUCGACUGCAGCGAAGAAAUUAAAUCUCAGUGGUGAAUCGCAAUUGAAAGGGAACCCAGGUACAAGCUCAGGAGUCCAGAGCUUAAAUUUGAGAAGUAAUUCGCACCAAAAGGAGAUUUGAAAAAGCAAAAUCUGACUCAAAUUGGCGACUCACAUCCAAAGGGGAUUGUAGAGAUGAGUGUGACUAAGCAGAAUUAUGAUAAUGCCGUGAUGAAGACUCAAUGCCCAGCGGAUGACUGAGCUGAAAAACAACUCCCAGAAGAGUCAUGGGUCGGAUUAUUCAAAGGAAACAGAGCAAUAGAACAUGGUAUGGCUUUAUCAUAUGUAACUCUACUAUAAUUAAUGGAAAAUUAGUUGCACAAUUAGAUAAGGAAGAAGUAGAACAUGAGACACUGAAGUGGAAAUCAGCUUUACUUGUUUACAUAGUGGGAGACACUGUCACGACCCAAAUCUCAUAUGUCGUGAUGACGUCAAUCGCAAUACUAGGCAAGUCGACAACCACAAUAAAUGACUCAUUCUUCAUGUUUGAAAAUAUAGUAAAAAUAAGCUUAACAGUGAAAUCUCAUAAUUACUGAUACAAAAAUACCACGACUUAAUACAAUACAUUCCCAAAACCCGGGUGUCACUGAGUACAUGAGUAUCUAAAUGUCAACAUAGUCUGACUGAUAAAACACUAUCUAGAAAUAUAGAACAGUACAAAUAACUAAAAGGAAAUAGAGUCAAGAUCUGCGGACGCCAAGGCAACUACCUUAAUAGUCUACAACAGAUAAAAACUCCAAAUCUAGAAGCCGCCGCACCCGAAAGUACAUGGAUUAGCACACGAAGUACAGAGUGUAGUAUGAGUACAACCGACUCAAUGCACUCAAACAAGUAACAAGACUAACCUUUGGGCUGAAAAAACAGUGACGAGCUCAACAGUUACAGUCCAAAUAUAGAAAUAACAGUACAGAAAUGUAGACAUACUUUCAAGUUCAAUAGUUUAAGCUCAAAUAGAUAAAAUAUGCUAAGUGUGACUGAAAUAAGGAAUGAUACAUCUCUACCUCUACAUGUCUUUUAUAUAUGCCAACUGUAAUGCAACACAAUGGAAAAGUCAUAUGCAUACUCUCAGAGUAUCAAUGCAUUCAGUCCUCCCAAACCUCAAUCCUCACAGUCACUCAAUCUUCCCAAACGCUCGAUACUUGCUAUCGGCACUCGCACUCGCACUCAGUAGGUACCUGUGCUCACUGUUGAUAAGUCAGACUCUGGAGGGGCGGAUCCUGCCCAAGCGCUAAAAUAAGCCAGUCAUGGCAUGAAUCAAUAAAGCAUGUUGCGGCGUGCAACCUGAUCCCAUAAAUAUCCUCACAAUCAAGCCAUCGGCCUCACUCAGUCACUAAUCCCUACAGUUUCUCGGGCUCUCAAUGUCAUGAAAAUCAGCCCAAACAUGAUGAUAUGAUGUAUCAAUAAAUGGCAACAGAGACUGAGAUAUGAUAUGCAAAUGAUAGAUGUGACUGAGUAUAUAAUUGCAAAUUAAGCUAGGAAUGCAUCAGCAAUACGACCUUUGUGGGUCCCAAUAAUACCAGCAUAUAGCCUAAUCAUAAUUUAUAAUAUGAGUCACAACUCAAUUUCUCUAACACAUGGAGAAUAUAUGAAAAAUGACAAGAUUGUUUGACUGCACAGUGCAACGAAAUUAAUUAAGUCACGAUUUCUACGGUGGGCAUUCUACGGUGCAUGCCCACAUGCAUGUCACCUAGCAAGUGCUUCACCUCCACACUAAUCAUAUAACACGUAAUUCAGGGAUUUAUACCCUAAACACUAAGUUUAGAAGUGUUACUUACCUCCAACCGUGAAAUUUUAUACGCCAAUAAGCGUUUGCCUUGCGAUUCAGCCUCCAAACGCCUCAAAUCUAGCCACAAUAUAUUCGAUACAAUCAAUACAAGCUAUAGGAAUCAAUUCCAUAUGAAAAUGCUAAGUUCUAAAUCAAAAGUCAAAAAGUCAACUCAAAAGUCAACGCGGGACCCACAUCUCGGAUUCGACAAAAGUUAAACAAUACGAAUGCCCAUUCAACCACGAGUCCAUCCAUACCAAAUUUCGAUCACAACUCGACCUCGAAAUGCUCAAAUUAAAGUCUAGAAAAGUUUUAUAAUUUUCAACCCAAAACACUAAUUUAAUGAUAAAAACAAUAAUAAAUUCGUGUAAUUUAACGAAAAUCGAGUUAGGAAUUCUUAGCCCAAUGUCUUCCCUGAAAAUCUCCCGAGAAAUUACCUCACAGCGAGCUCUAAAUUCAAAAAAUGUGGAAAUGAGACGAACUCUCGUUUUGAAACUUAAGUUCUGCUGCAUAGGGAUUUACUCUUCGCGAUCGCGAAUAGUCCCUCGCGAUCACGAAGAACAAAACAAAGUUGUUCCUAAAAUGGCCUUCGUGAACGCAGUUGAUUUCACGCGAAUGCGGUUCACUGAUUCGCAGACCUACACGAUCGCGAACAUCCCCAUGCGAUCACGAAGAACAACUUCGCCUGAACCCCUAGCCCUUCUCUUUUCCUCUUUGUAAACGCGACCUUACCCACAUGUUCGCGGUUCACUGCCUCCACCACCCUAUGUGAUCGCAGACCCAAGCUUGCGAACGCAUAGAACAAAAUCCCAGUUUCCAAAAUAACACUUUACAAUCGCGAUCAUCCUCUCACGAUCGCGAACAAGAAAUUCAGCAAAAGCAAAAUCAGAAUUCUUCCAAGGUUCAAAAUGCGCCGAACAUGAUUCGAAUCACACCCGAGGCCCCCUGGGACCUCAACCAAGCAUACCAAUAAGUUCUAAAACAUGAUACAAACUUAAUCGAGGCCUCAAAUUACAUUAAACAACAUAAAAAAUACGAAUUGCACCCCAAUUCAAGCCUGAUGAAAACUAAUGAAUUUCAACUUCUACAAUCGAUGCCGAAACCUAUCAAAUCAACUGUGAUUGACUUCAAAUUUUGCACGCAAGUUAUAAAUGACACAACAGACCUAUUUCAAUUUCCGGAACCAAAAUCUGAGUCCAAUAACCACAAAGUCAACUCUCGGUCAAGCUUCCGAACUUCUAAUUUUUCAACUUCCGCCAUUUCAAGUCAAAAUCAACUACAAACCUCUAAUUCAAUAUCUGGACACACUCCUAAGUCCAAAAUCACCAUACGAAGCUAUCAGAACCAUCAAAAUUCUAUUCCAAAGUUAUUUACACAUGAGUCAAUAUCCGGUCAAGUCUUUUAACUUAAGCUCCCAACCUUGAAACUAAGUGUACCAAUUCAUGUCGAAACAUCUCCGAAACCAAACCAACUACCCCGAUAAGUCACAUAACAAUAAUUGAGCAUAAAAAAGCAGUAAAUAAGAGAGCGGGACUAUAAUACUCAAAACGAUCGGUCGGGUCAUUACAAAUACUCCAGGGUAUAACUACAUGAAGAACUAUGUUGCACAAAAUUGGUCAAUUGUAGCUGAACCGGAGGUGUUUCUACAUGAUGAAGGGUAUUAUAUAAUCAAAUUUCAAUUAGUGGCUGAUAUGAAUGAGAUAUUGUACUCAGGACCCUAUACCAUUAACAAUAGACCGAUCAUAAUCAAACCUUGGUCCCCUGAUUUUGACCUUAAAAUAGAAUUCCUAACAGAAAUUCCCAUAUGGGUGAAAUUUCCUAAAUUGCCAAUCAACUGUUGGGGUGCAAAAUAUUUGAGCAGUUUAGCUAAUACCAUUGGGACACCUCUAUAUGCAGAUUUUUGUACGGUUAAACAGACUAGGAUCUCCUUUGCAAGAAUUCUUAUAGAGGUAAAUGUCACUAAAACUCUACCAAAAGAAGUAUAGGUAAUGGAUCCAACAGGAA